rnacentral:rRNA from 1 species
ACGUAGGUGGCAAGCGUUGUCCGGAAUUAUUGGGCGUAAAGCGCGCGCAGGCGGCUUUCUAAGUCCAUCUUAAAAGUGCGGGGCUUAACCCCGUGAUGGGAUGGAAACUGGAAAGCUGGAGUAUCGGAGAGGAAAGUGGAAUUCCUAGUGUAGCGGUGAAAUGCGUAGAGAUUAGGAAGAACACCGGUGGCGAAGGCGACUUUCUGGACGACAACUGACGCUGAGGCGCGAAAGCGUGGGGAGCAAACAG